CGUUAAUCAUUUUACGAUAAGACGACGAAAAACAUUUGGUUUUCUUUAAAUCUCACAGCAGUUCGUCGGAGGAACAUAACACGUAGACGUAAUAAAAGUUCAGGUUUUAAACAAAUUGAUAUAUGACUGUAAUUUUAAGCAGUGCCUUUUCUAAAUUGUUAUAUGUGAUCGAUGUGGCUGCUGUCAGUGUCGAAUUUCUGAACUAAUCUUAUAAGCUGAGGUUACGGUAUUUUUGUAUACAUGAUGUCUACGUGCUCCGGUAACCACACAACACCAGGUGGGCUGUGAGUUCGUCCAUCCAUCUAAGCAAUAAAAACAACAACAACAACAAAAAGAAGAAGAUCUUCCUUAUGGCCUAUGUCACUCGGGAAUAGUGUAGCUACCAAACAGUGAAAGAAUUUUUCUAAUUGGUUCAGUAAGUAGUUUCGGAGCCUAUUCAAUACAAACAAACAAACAAAUCUGUUCUCUUUAUAAUAUUAGUAUAAAAAAAAAGUUGGUUGUUUGUAAAGGUGGUUUACGGACGAUAGUUUUACGUGAUAACGUCAUAAAGAAAGAUUGAUGAAACAUUGCACACUCUUAUGAAUUGAAUUGAAUUAUUAUCACUGAAUUAUUAUGUAUGUAUGUAUUUGACUAUUUUAUACAUAGGUAUAUUAAAUUGUAGUAUGUGUAUUCUAUAAUACUGAGACGUUAUUUUAAGGAAGAUUUUUGUUUUGAGUUUGUUCUUUUUUUUUUUUUUGUUAUUUGUUAUUCUUUUGCACCUACCAUGCAUUAUCUCUGCACCACCCUAUGGUCGACUGGAAGAGAAUGCCCAUGGCAUUAAGUCCGCCUGUGUACAAGUUUUGUUUUGUGCAUAAAGUAUAAAUAAAUAAAUAAAUUAUUAUGU